AAGAUUCGGCCCUCGGGCCAACUCUCCAGCUGUGCGCUUCGGCUGCACGCUGGGUUUAAACCUCACACACCUGUGAACAUUUCGGUUGUGGCCUGUCUUCUGGCAUCCCAUUUCCGCCUUUACAUAAAACUACCAAGUCUAGAAUGUAAAAACUAUAAAGUAA
rnacentral:misc_RNA from 1 species